UGGGGAAUUUUGGACAAUGGGCGAAAGCCUGAUCCAGCAAUGCCGCGUGUGUGAAGAAGGCCUUCGGGUUGUAAAGCACUUUUGUCCGGAAAGAAAUCCUUGGCUCUAAUACAGUCGGGGGAUGACGGUACCGGAAGAAUAAGCACCGGCUAACUACGUGCCAGCAGCCGCGGUAAUACGUAGGGUGCAAGCGUUAAUCGGAAUUACUGGGCGUAAAGCGUGCGCAGGCGGUUUGCUAAGACCGAUGUGAAAUCCCCGGGCUCAACCUGGGAACUGCAUUGGUGACUGGCAGGCUAGAGUAUGGCAGAGGGGGGUAGAAUUCCACGUGUAGCAGUGAAAUGCGUAGAGAUGUGGAGGAAUACCGAUGGCGAAGGCAGCCCCCUGGGCCAAUACUGACGCUCAUGCACGAAAGCGUGGGGAGCAAACAGGAUUAGAUACCCUGGUAGUCCACGCCCUAAACGAUGUCACUAGUUGUUGGGGAUUCAUUUCCUAGUAACGUAGCUAACGCGUGAAGUUGACCGCCUGGGGAGUACGGUCGCAAGAUUAAAACUUAAAGGAAUUGACGGGGUCAUAGCUGUUUCCU
rnacentral:rRNA from 1 species